rnacentral:lncRNA from 1 species
GGAACCUUGAGUACGGGGUUUUCUCAGUAAACUAAUGUGCAGGCACCAACUUACAGCAUUCUCCAUGAAUCCUAUUGCCUCCUGCAGGCCUAGUGAAGAAUGUCCUGCCAAAGAGUCACCCAGUUUCUACCAAGUGUCUCAUGUUCUCUCAGAAUGGCAUUAGAGGGAACAGAAGUGCAUCUUGACCCGUGUCUGUAUUCUGUGGAAAAUGAGAAGUCAGAGCACCAGGACCGUACGGGAGCUAGGGAGAAGUGUGUGUUUCAGCCUUGGCAGUGGAUUCUUUGGCAGUUGUGUGGCCCAGAGGGAACCAGACGCAGAGAAAAGUCAAGCCAGUCUCUUUCAGAUACAGGGGUAGCCGUUCAGAUUUCCAGUCCACCGAGGUAGAAGCAAGCCUCCCUCCCGGCUAUUCGUAGAGAAUAAUAAGGUGUGGGUGAGAUGUACCUGCCUAAGAAGGGGGCUGUCUA